rnacentral:rRNA from 1 species
GACGAACGCUGGCGGCGUGCUUAACACAUGCAAGUCGAACGGAAAGGCCCUGCUUUUGUGGGGUGCUCGAGUGGCGAACGGGUGAGUAACACGUGAGUAACCUGCCCUUGACUUUGGGAUAACUUCAGGAAACUGGGGCUAAUACCGGAUAGGAGCUCCUGCUGCAUGGUGGGGGUUGGAAAGUUUCGGCGGUUGGGGAUGGACUCGCGGCUUAUCAGCUUGUUGGUGGGGUAGUGGCUUACCAAGGCUUUGACGGGUAGCCGGCCUGAGAGGGUGACCGGCCACAUUGGGACUGAGAUACGGCCCAGACUCCUACGGGAGGCAGCAGUGGGGAAUAUUGCACAAUGGGCGGAAGCCUGAUGCAGCAACGCCGCAUGCGGGAUGACGGCCUUCGGGUUGUAAACCGCUUUCGCCUGUGGCGAAGCGUGAGUGACGGUAAUGGGUAAAGAAGCACCGGCUAACUACGUG